CUUUGCGCGACGUCGCGCAAAACGUUUUUACCCGAUUGCACAAAUAGCAUCAUCCUUUUGCAAGGAUCAGUCUCUGCCCUCCCUUCCGAUCUCCCCAUUCUUCACGGCCCACAUUCGCAAUCCCUAAAUCAGGACAAAUGGUAUUGGAUUUUGCAGUUUAUUCUACCAUAUUAUACUGGUGUUAUUGUGAUCAUGUAUGAAGACUUCUUGAUUGAGAAAUGUGGAUGAGUUAAUUGGUAUCUUGUGGGUAAAUUUGUGAAGAAAAAUUUCUAUGCAUUCCAUCUGUUUGAUGAUAUGUCUAAGAGGCAUAAUACGGAGAAUAUGUCAUUGAGUAGCAACCUGGAAGCUUUGGAUAUUGUUGUACUUGUUUGUCGUUCUUCGCCUAAAGAUCUUGCAGCUAGUUUCACUGAGGAGAAUGGGUGUUUGGGUCAUAUCAAUGCUAUCAAGCAGUUCCUCUGCUUAUCACUGUUACAUAGCUGUGCAUUGACAAUCAUGGCCAUUUCCCAGCUUGACUAUUCUAUUUUCACCAGCUUGUUAUCGAAAUCGAAUCAGGAAUUGUGUAAUAGGGUUGAUGUACACCAGGAUGCCGUUUGCUUUCCUAAUUGCAUAGCGAAAGACCAUAUUUUCCAGCAACCGGGUUGGUGUCACACUCUCACUGAUCCUUGUGACAAUAUAUCUUAUCAAAGGGUUGUCAUCAAUCAGAGCAACAAGUUCAAUCAGAGGAAUUAUACAACAUGGUUAAUGGAGAGGACCUGCGUUCUCAUCUCUUUCAAUGUAGUAGACGAAAAUGGGAAGAGAAAGGGUUUUGGGUUUGUUCAGUUUGACAAAGAGGACUCAGCUAUGGCUGCUGCUAGUCCUCUCAAUUUGGUACUUAUGCUGUGGACUUUAUACACAGGGUUGGUCGUACAGCCAGAGCUGGUCAAUAUGGACUUGUGACUAGCAUGUAUACAGAAUCUAACCGUGACCUGGUUGCUGCAGUUCGUAGAGCAGGAGAACUUGAUCUGCCUGUGGAGACGACAUUUAGCAGGAAAAGAAGCUUUCGAAAUAAGCUUAAGAAAAAAGGUAAAAAUUCAGAUCUUCAACUGUCCAAAACUCAGGAUUACAAAGUUGAGAUAGAAAUCAAGCGUACAUGCUGAUUUCUAUCUCAGUUUGGUCAAAUCGUGCUCUUGCUGGUGCAAAUUGUUACAACCAUGAUCAGGCUCUUGGAAGAAUAUGCUAACUUGAAAGGGCUUCAAGAUGGACAUUCCAGACAAGAAGCGGAAGUGUUUGCAAUACUUAGCCAUAAACACAGAAAUGAUCCUCUCAAAAUCAAGGAAAUCAUUUCCAUGGUUGCCAACAGUCUAACAAGUUUCCUGAAUUUAGAGAUUGAGUUCAAGUUUCCUUUGAAGAAGGAUGGAACAACAACUGCUUCAAUCUUAAUUCUCUUCUUUUAAGUAAUCACAGUUGACUUGUUUUAAUGCAUACACCAAACUGCUAUUGGAACAAAUAUAGGAAUUGAACACUGUUGUAUGCUCUUCUUUCAUUUCCGGUUUCUAUUGGUCAAUGUAGCAUGUGACGAGGUUUAUUCCCAAGUUAUGACUUCUUUAAGUUUGUAUUUCAUGUGAUCACCGUUUGUGAUAGAAGCUCAUGAAACUUUUGAUAAAAAUCAAACACAGUUAUAGUAAGAUAGUCCUUCAUAAUGUUAAA